GACGAACGCUGGCGGCGUGCUUAACACAUGCAAGUCGAACGGAAAGGCCCUGCUUUUGUGGGGUGCUCGAGUGGCGAACGGGUGAGUAACACGUGAGUAACCUGCCCUUGACUUUGGGAUAACUUCAGGAAACUGGGGCUAAUACCGGAUAGGAGCUCCUGCUGCAUGGUGGGGGUUGGAAAGUUUCGGCGGUUGGGGAUGGACUCGCGGCUUAUCAGCUUGUUGGUGGGGUAGUGGCUUACCAAGGCUUUGACGGGUAGCCGGCCUGAGAGGGUGACCGGCCACAUUGGGACUGAGAUACGGCCCAGACUCCUACGGGAGGCAGCAGUGGGGAAUAUUGCACAAUGGGCGGAAGCAUGAUGAAGCAACGCCGCGUGAGGGAUGACGGACUUAGGGUUGUAAACCGCUUUCGCCUGUGACGAAGCGUGAGUGACGGUAAUGGGUAAAGAAGCACCGGCUAACUACGUG
rnacentral:rRNA from 1 species